GCUGUUAAUAAUAAAUGAACAAACAUUAGCCUGGUAGUUAUGUAAUGAAAAAAAAAGGUUCCAAAUUGCUCUGCUUUUCCUUUGGAGGGGAAUGUGAAUAACAGGGCAGAAAAACAAGUGUGAGGAGCUGAGGAUCAGCCCUGUGCCAUCCGCAUUUGCUCCACGUUCUGAUCUGCUGCGUCCUACUGAUGGGAGCCGUGAGCAGCUCAAUGAUUCAUCCCGUAGGUGGCUGCCUGUCACGGGCACUGUACAUCAGUUCCAAAUCCAAACAGCCACGCAUGCCUUCCCACCCAACUUGAGAUAUUUGGGUUUUGGAGUGUAAACUGGAGGUGGGUGAAAUGGCACCAGAGGGACAGUCUGACAGAAUGGUGUCUGACAUGGAGGUCUGGAUGAAUCACAGAACCACAGGAACCAUUUGUGUUGGAAGGGACCUUUAAAGGUCAUCAGUACAACUCCUCCUGCAAUAAGCAGGGACACCUACAGCUCCAUCAGGUGCUCAGAGCCCCAUCCAGCCUGACCUGGAGUGUCUCCAGGGAUGGGGCAUCCACCACCUCUCUGGGCAACCUGUGCCAGUGCCUCACCACCCUGAUUGUAAAAAACUUUUUCCUUACAUGGGUGGUGAAACACUGGAACAAGUUGCCCUGCCUGAAGCAAAGGUGUGGAACUGAAUUCCUUCAUGUGUAAAAAAUGGCACCCAUUGACAUGCAUUGAUGCUUGCUGAAUGUUUUUAAAGUCCAAGCAGUGCAUGUGAACACAGGGAGGCAGUGGGUGGUGUGUUUCAUCAGUUACGGCACUGGGUCACCUUCGCUGGUGCAGACUGUUGUGAGUGUGGCAUGCAGGCUCUUGCUCAUUGCUGGUGAAAAAGCACAACUGACGGUGGUGAUUAUGAUUAAAAAGGAAUGUUUUGUAGCUGAUAAUUUGCUUUAUCAAAUGUUGUACUCUUUGUAUCAGUUGGAGUUUUCAUGGAAAUAAAUUGGAAGCAUUACUUUUCGAGCAGCUUACAUACUUAACAUACAUUUUCUGAAAUCUCAUGACACCAAGGCAAAUCAGGUCAUUACAUUCUGUUAAAUCUCUUCUGCAGUCACUUCACUCAUGACAAAAACUGUGUACUGAAGUAAUUAAAUUUUGCUUUCCCUCAGUGAAUCAUAAUUGCAGCAAUAGCUCCAUGAAUCCAAAGCAGUGCUUCCCAAGAUGAUCUAAAAUUUGUAUUUUGGAAAAACAGUAGUACUGUGAACUUCACAAGUAUAUUUAUUGGGUCCAAACAUAGGAAACUUACCCUUGACAGUCUGUUUACUUACUUUCUCCAUCACUGCCUCUCUCUUUCUCUGGCAUGAAUAAUGAAUAAUGUAUCAAUGUUGGUUUUUUUUUUCCUUUCUGUUAACACAAAGAAAAAUGGAGAUGUUAAUUUCUUACGGUGGCAGCUAAGACAAGCACAAUUAAGCAGUUUACUUUCUAGGGAUUGCUCACUGAAUUCUUCAAGAGGUUCCUCUGCAGCUGAUGUAGUUGAGGGCCACACCAUC
ensembl:lncRNA